rnacentral:rRNA from 1 species
GACGAACGCUGGCGGCGUGCUUAACACAUGCAAGUCGAACGGAAAGGCCCUUCGGGGUCCUCGAGUGGCGAACGGGUGAGUAACACGUGGGUGAUCUGCCCUGCACUUUGGGAUAAGCCUGGGAAACUGGGUCUAAUACCGAAUAGGACCACGCGCUUCAUGGCGUGUGGUGGAAAGCUUUUGCGGUGUGGGAUGGGCCCGCGGCCUAUCAGCUUGUUGGUGGGGUAAUGGCCUACCAAGGCGACGACGGGUAGCCGGCCUGAGAGGGUGACCGGCCACACUGGGACUGAGAUACGGCCCAGACUCCUACGGGAGGCAGCAGUGGGGAAUAUUGCACAAUGGGCGCAAGCCUGAUGCAGCGACGCCGCGUGAGGGAUGACGGCCUUCGGGUUGUAAACCUCUUUCAAUAGGGACGAAGCGCAAGUGACGGUACCUAUAGAAGAAGCACCGGCCAACUACGUG